UACGGGGGGGGGCAAGCGUUGUUCGGAAUUACUGGGCGUAAAGGGCGCGUAGGCGGCCUUCUAAGUCGAACGUGAAAUCCCCGGGCUCAACCCGGGAACUGCGUCCGAGACUGAAAGGCUCGAAUCCGGGAGAGGGAUGUGGAAUUCCCGGUGUAGUGGUGAAAUGCGUAGAUAUCGGGAGGAACACCAGUGGCGAAGGCGACUACCUGGCCUGUUCUUGACGCUGAGGCGCGAAGGCGCGGGGAGCGAACGGG
rnacentral:rRNA from 1 species